ensembl:lncRNA
GACUGACCUGCUCCAGCUGGGACUUAACUGUGAAUGUUUGGGAAUAGAAUCCAGUUGGCCAGGUUUGGAUCAGAUGCCUUUCCCUGAUCCCAUUGCUUUGCCGGGUAGGAAGGCUCUCAUCCCUAUAGAUCAAGGGGCAGUUUCCAGAGGAAAGAGCAGUCGUUGUGAACAGCGCUGAUGCUAGAAGAACAUCCACAGCUCUGGUACGUUGGGACCUUCUCAACAACAGUGUUAGUGUCAGUGGAUGGACUUCAGUGCUCAGUGGGAGACAGCAGCAGGAGCCAGAGGAGGCAGCGGGACUUGCUCAGCAGACGCAAACAUACUCAGAAGGAGGGGAAGUCACAUUCAUCAAACGCUUUUGGGCCCUAAGGCAGCUGAGGUACCUAAAGAACACAGCAUCGUAGCCCAGCAUUCUACAUCAUCUCUGGGAGCUGUUAGUUCCUAUUGAGGAGGGGAGACAAGAAAGGCUUAAAGAUGAGAUGGAUACGAGAAUCAUCUCUAUGGUUUGGAAAUGAGUGGUUUUUAAAAAAUUUAUUUUUAAAGAAGAUUAGCCCAGAGCUAACAUUUGCCACCAAUCCUCCUCUUUUUGCCGAGGAAGACCGACCCUGAGCUAACAUCUGUGUCCAUCUUCUUCCUCGUUUUUAUAUGUGGGAUGCCUGCCACAGCGUGGCUCAACAAGCAGUGCAUAAGUCCACACUCAGGAUCCAAACUGGCGAAACCUGGGCCACGGAAGCAGAACAUGUGAACUUAACCGCUGCACCACUGGGCUGGCCCCAAGAAACCGAUGGUUUUGAAUUGCAUUCUAUGCUCUGGGAAGAACAUUUGGUGAAGUCGCCACAGAGCAAUAUUAGUAAGUGCUGUGUGUCUUCUUUCUCAUAAAUGUCUUCAUUACAAGAUCAUGUAACUGGUACUUCACUAGAGCUUGCUCUGAUGGGUCUCUUCAGCUAAUAAAUCACAUCAUGUUAUGAUUUUCAACUAAUAUAGAGUUAUAAUUCAUCCUGCUCAAUUCAGCUAUGUUUUGGAGGGUAGGUAUGGGAGGGAUAAAAAAAAAAAAAAACAAAUGUUUUUCUUACUCUUUUUCAACUUUCCCAUUUAGUGGUAAAUUUGCUAUCAAAACUUUUGUUGGAAUCCAUCCCAGUCUCAGGUCUUGACACACAGGUCAUGAAAGACUAAGAAAGCAUUAUCACUCUUAGCUGCAAUCCUUUACAGGCAAGUGCAAGAAAGCCAAGAUCUAAAUUCCAGUUUAGAGUCAACGUAACAUUCCACAAAUCCAUGCCAAGAUAAAGGUGGAAAGAUCAAUACUUCUGCUACUCUUUCUGAGGAAGACAGAAACUAAUGGUAGUGGUUCCCAAACUUGUUCACAUUAGAAUCACCUGUCAAAAUUCCAAAACAAGGCCAUAGCUCAGACCAGUCAGUCACAAUCUUUGGGGACAGUUCACAGGAAUUUGUAGUUUUUGAAGCUCCCCCAGGCGAUCUCAAUGUGAAGAUAAAAUUUGGGAACCAUUCAUUUGACAUCACAGAAUUUGCUUUAAUUUAACUGGGGCCAUUGCCCAAGUUUCAAUCCAGGUGUUGGAAAUAUUCCAUCUCCUUUUAGGAAAGGGCGAUCCUCUGAUAAUGAAAAUAUCUGUUUUAUGGUCAACUUAUGGGUACAAAUGAGGCCAGAGAGGUCUCUGUGGUUACUUUGUCUUAAUGAAUGUGAUUUACAGCUGAAAGUAAAAUUGCUCUUUAUGAAAGCCAGGAAAAGUCAACCCAUCCAUCAAGGUCUUCUCCAAUGCGUCUAAUAAUUAUACAGGACAAAUAGGAAAAUACAUGAGAUCAUUUUACAACAGAAGAAAUGAUUUUAAUAUAUAUUUUUAAUGCUUUGUGAUUGAUUCUUAUUUUUGAUUUAAGAUUAUGUUUAUGUAAUAUAAUUAUUAAAAUCCAGCAACAAUCACAAAUGUAAAUCAGGAAGUAAUUUUUGUCAAUUUUAAUUAAGUUAAUAAUUUUAUUGUGAGUUGAUUUUAUUAAUUACCUAAUUCUUUGUAAUUAAGGUAAUUAAUAAAAACUUUAAUGCAUUUAAAUAGUCC